CUUGGAUGAUGGUUCGCCAGAGUUUCCUGUCCUUGGCAUUGGUUUCCCAAUUGUCGAUGUCACUUUCACAUUUCAUCUUGCUGGCUUUUCAGGUGUCUUUGAAUCUCUUCCUUUGUCCGCCUCUUUUACAAAUGAGGAUUUGAU